UACACACCGCCCGUCGUUACUACCGAUUGAAUGGCUUAGUGAGAUCCUAGGAGAGUCUACGCAAGAGGGCAACCUCUAGCGCGGAUUCAAAUUCGAUCAAACUUGGUCAUUUAGAGGAAGUACAAGUCGUAACAAGGUUUCCGUAGGUGAACCUGCGGAAGGAUCAUUUUUGAAGGCUACACGCCGACAUUGUGAAACGCGAAAAUACAUGAAGGCUUCGGCUAGAGUGUGUUUUGGCAUUGCUUGGACGGAGUUCGCUCUGUCCAACUUCAAAACUUAUAUCAAUUUAUCUGAAAACUGAAAAUUUAAAACUUUCAACAACGGAUCUCUUGGUUCUCACAUCGAUGAAGAACGCAGCAAAGCGCGAUAGGUAAUGCGAAUUGCAGACGUGAGUCAUUGAAUCUUUGAACGCACAUUGCGCUACUAGGUUCUCCUAGUAGCAUGCUUGUUGGAGCGCCGAACUUUCUCUCUAACUCUUCUUCUGAAGAGUCGUGAGGUAUUGCUUCUGCUAGAAGUCAAAGAAAUGGAACAGCACACGUUAAUAACUCUGUGCAGUAAUAUUUUUAUGGCCCCCAAUCAAGCAAGAUUACCCGCUGAACUUAAGCAUAUCAAUAAGCGGAGGAAAAGAAACCAACAGGGAUUGCCUUAGUAACGGCGAGUGAACAGGCAAGAGCUCAGAUUUGAAAGC
rnacentral:rRNA from 1 species